rnacentral:tRNA from 1 species
GGCAAGAUGGCCGAGCGGUCUAAGGCGCCACGUUAAGGUAAACCCUUAAUUCUUCUCCAAGAAAUCCGUGGUCCGAAAGGGCGUGGGUUCGAAUCCCACUCUUGUCA